UACAGAGGUGGCAAGCGUUGUUCGGAAUUACUGGGCGUAAAGGGCGUGUAGGCGGCCUUCUAAGUCAGACGUGAAAUCCCCCGGCUUAACCUGGGAACUGCGUCUGAUACUGGGAGGCUUGAGUAUGGGAGAGGGAUGUAGAAUUCCAGGUGUAGCGGUGAAAUGCGUAGAUAUCUGGAGGAAUACCGGUGGCGAAGGCGGCAUCCUGGACCAUUACUGACGCUGAAUCGCGAAAGCUAGGGGAGCAAACGGG
rnacentral:rRNA from 1 species